rnacentral:rRNA from 1 species
CAGCAGCCGCCGCGGUAACACGAAGGGUGCAAGCGUUAAUCGGAAUUACUGGGCGUAAAGCGUGCGUAGGCGGUUUGUUAAGUCUGUUGUGAAAUCCCCGGGCUCAACCUGGGAAUGGCAAUGGAUACUGGCAAGCUAGAGUGUGUCAGAGGAUGGUGGAAUUCCCGGUGUAGCGGUGAAAUGCGUAGAUAUGUGGAGGAACACCGAUGGCGAAGGCAGCCUCCUGGGAUAAUACUGACGCUCAUGCACGAAAGCGUGGGGAGCAAACAGGAUUAGAUACCCGCGUAGUCCCUGUCUCUUAUAC